GAAGGUUGGGUAACACUAACUGGAGGACCGAACCGACUAAUGUUGAAAAAUUAGCGGAUGACCUGUGGCUGGGGGUGAAAGGCCAAUCAAACCGGGAGAUAGCUGGUUCUCCCCGAAAGCUAUUUAGGUAGCGCCUCGUGAAUUCAUCUCCGGGGGUAGAGCACUGUUUCGGCUAGGGGGCCAUCCCGGCUUACCAACCCGAUGCAAACUGCGAAUACCGGAGAAUGUUAUCACGGGAGACACACGGCGGGUGCUAACGUCCGUCGUGAAGAGGGAAACAACCCAGACCGCCAGCUAAGGUCCCAAAGUCAUGGUUAAGUGGGAAACGAUGUGGGAAGGCCCAGACAGCCAGGAUGUUGGCUUAGAAGCAGCCAUCAUUUAAAGAAAGCGUAAUAGCUCACUGGUCGAGUCGGCCUGCGCGGAAGAUGUAACGGGGCUAAACCAUGCACCGAAGCUGCGGCAGCGACACUGUGUGUUGUUGGGUAGGGGAGCGUUCUGUAAGCCUGUGAAGGUGUGUCGUGAGGCAUGCUGGAGGUAUCAGAAGUGCGAAUGCUGACAUAAGUAACGAUAAAGCGGGUGAAAAGCCCGCUCGCCGGAAGACCAAGGGUUCCUGUCCAACGUUAAUCGGGGCAGGGUGAGUCGACCCCUAAGGCGAGGCCGAAAGGCGUAGUCGAUGGGAAACGGGUUAAUAUUCCCGUACUUGGUGUUACUGCGAAGGGGGGACGGAGAAGGCUAUGUUGGCCGGGCGACGGUUGUCCCGGUUUAAGCGUGUAGGUGUGUGUUCCAGGUAAAUCCGGUUCACUUUAACACUGAGGCGUGACGACGAGGCACUACGGUGCUGAAGCAACAAAUGCCCUGCUUCCAGGAAAAGCCUCUAAGCAUCAGGUAACAUCAAAUCGUACCCCAAACCGACACAGGUGGUCAGGUAGAGAAUACCAAGGCGCUUGAGAGAACUCGGGUGAAGGAACUAGGCAAAAUGGUGCCGUAACUUCGGGAGAAGGCACGCUGACACGUAGGUGAAGUGAUUUACUCAUGGAGCUGAAGUCAGUCGAAGAUACCAGCUGGCUGCAACUGUUUAUUAAAAACACAGCACUGUGCAAACACGAAAGUGGACGUAUACGGUGUGACGCCUGCCCGGUGCCGGAAGGUUAAUUGAUGGGGUCAGCGCAAGCGAAGCUCCUGAUCGAAGCCCCGGUAAACGGCGGCCGUAACUAUAACGGUCCUAAGGUAGCGAAAUUCCUUGUCGGGUAAGUUCCGACCUGCACGAAUGGCGUAAUGAUGGCCAGGCUGUCUCCACCCGAGACUCAGUGAAAUUGAACUCGCUGUGAAGAUGCAGUGUACCCGCGGCAAGACGGAAAGACCCCGUGAACCUUUACUAUAGCUUGACACUGAACAUUGAGCCUUGAUGUGUAGGAUAGGUGGGAGGCUUUGAAGUGUGGACGCCAGUCUGCAUGGAGCCGACCUUGAAAUACCACCCUUUAAUGUUUGAUGUUCUAACGUGGACCCGUUACCCGGGUUGCGGACAGUGUCUGGUGGGUAGUUUGACUGGGGCGGUCUCCUCCUAAAGAGUAACGGAGGAGCACGAAGGUUGGCUAAUCCUGGUCGGACAUCAGGAGGUUAGUGCAAUGGCAUAAGCCAGCUUGACUGCGAGCGUGACGGCGCGAGCAGGUGCGAAAGCAGGUCAUAGUGAUCCGGUGGUUCUGAAUGGAAGGGCCAUCGCUCAACGGAUAAAAGGUACUCCGGGGAUAACAGGCUGAUACCGCCCAAGAGUUCAUAUCGACGGCGGUGUUUGGCACCUCGAUGUCGGCUCAUCACAUCCUGGGGCUGAAGUAGGUCCCAAGGGUAUGGCUGUUCGCCAUUUAAAGUGGUACGCGAGCUGGGUUUAGAACGUCGUGAGACAGUUCGGUCCCUAUCUGCCGUGGGCGCUGGAGAACUGAGGGGGGCUGCUCCUAGUACGAGAGGACCGGAGUGGACGCAUCACUGGUGUUCGGGUUGUCAUGCCAAUGGCACUGCCCGGUAGCUAAAUGCGGAAGAGAUAAGUGCUGAAAGCAUCUAAGCACGAAACUUGCCCCGAG
rnacentral:rRNA from 2 species